rnacentral:rRNA from 1 species
ACGAACGCUGGCGGCGUGCCUAACACAUGCAAGUCGCACGGAAAGGCCCUGCUCUUGUGGGGUUCUCGAGAGGCGAACGGGGGAGUAACACGUGAGUAACCUGCCCUUGUCUUUGGGAUAACUUCAGGGAACUGGGGCUAAUACCGGAUAGGAUCUCCUGCUGCAUGGGGUGGGUUGGAAAGUUUCGGCGUUUGGGGCUGGACUGGCGGCUUAUCAGCUUGUUGGUGGGGUGGUGGCUUACCCAGCCUUUGACGGGUAGGCGGCCUGAGAGGGUGACCGGCCACAUUGGGACUGAGAUACGGCCCAGACUCCUACGGGAGGCAGCAGUGGGAAAUAUUGCCCGAUGGGCGGAAGCCUGAUGCAGAAACGCCGCGUGCGGGAUAACGGUCUUCGGGGUGUAAACCGAUUGCGCCUGUAACGAAGCGUGAGUGACGGUAAUGUGUAAAGAAGCCCCGGCUAACUACGUG